AUUGCUUCUCAGCCUUUUGGCUAAGAUCAAGUAUAGUAUCUCUUCUUUAUCAGUUUAAUAUCUGCUACAUCCUCUCUCUGAGGACAGUACAUGAGAUGGAUUUUGCUCCGUCUACUCCGUGCAUUGACCUGGUAUUGCAGUAUUUCCAGGAAUGGUGCAGCCACC
rnacentral:snRNA from 1 species